rnacentral:lncRNA from 1 species
CCAGACAUUAUUUUACAAAAUGUCUCAAAUUAAACAUUCUCUGUCAAUUACAGAUGAUAGAAAUCUGCUCAGAUGAGAACGUUACUACAAUGCCUGCUUUAAUUGCUACAUUAUAAUCUCCAGACCUGAAAACCCCCAGAGACUCUCGAUAAAUAAGAUGCCUUUCAGCUACGCAGGAAAAACUCCUCAAAAGUCCAUCUCUAUCCCCCGCUUCCUAGAAGAGGAUCCAACUUGGAUUUGAUCAGAAGAAUGAAUAUCACAUAGCAGUGGCAUAACUAUUGGAAAACAUAAGAAUAGCAAUUGUACAGUUCAUAGCAAGAUGAAUGGAUGAAACUGUUUUCAUGGGAAUACAGUGUCCUGAAUCCUCUGCUGAGCACAGCAGGGGAGAGAUGAUCAGGAAGCCACUUUUAACUCCCUGAUCCUGGGGCCAACUUUACACUUAUUCCAGCAAAAGUUGAGAACGAUGCAGGUGUUGCUCUAAAUCCUGCUACCUGGCAACAUCUCCCUAAGAAUAGACGGAAUGCAACAUGCUCUAGCUAACUACAUCAGGAGUUGUGGAUGAGGGCAGCAUAGGAGUUGGCUGCAUCAGCUCUAUGUCUUCUAGAAUUUCUCC